rnacentral:rRNA from 1 species
UGCGUAGGCGGGUCUUUAAGUCAGGGGUGAAAUCCUGGAGCUCAACUCCAGAACUGCCUUUGAUACUGAGGAUCUUGAGUCCGGGAGAGGUGAGUGGAACUGCGAGUGUAGAGGUGAAAUUCGUAGAUAUUCGCAAGAACACCAGUGGCGAAGGCGGCUCACUGGCCCGGUACUGACGCUGAGGCACGAAAGCGUGGGGAGCAAACA